AUGAGUGCCUGUCCACCCCACAUUUUCCUUCGCUGCGCCAGACCUGACGGCCGCCUUACCGGAUCGACCGGAGCCGUUCGGAUCGUGAGGCGCAACGCGAGCAUCGUAGUCGAGCCGCCUGCCCCGAAUGCCGGGGCGGCGGCUUUUUUA
rnacentral:ncRNA from 1 species